GUUUAGGGCUUUUCCACAAAGGUUUAGUUUAAGGAUAGUUUUAUGAGCAUUGGAUUGCCGUUGUGAUUGGUUUUACAGUUAUAGGGUAUUUAAUUGAUUUGAUUAGAUUUCAUUGACGAAUGAUUUCAUGUUAAACUUGUGAUAUUUCAAGCACGGAAUAGCGGCUUCGGCAUGUUUGUAAUUGCUCUAAUCUUUACGAUGAGAUCUGGGAGUUACUUCCUCGACAUAUUCGACGGAUACUCAGUUACAUUUGACUUUUUCCUGUCGCACUCUUCGAAACAAUUGCAGUUGCUUGGGUCAUCAAACUAGAAAACUUCGAAAAUGACAUAUAGAGAAAUUGAUUCAAUCAAAACCAGCCUGAAAUAUACCUGCCCAGUUUUUAUGGGGGUUACUCGUUAUUCUGAUUGCGAGCUUCGUGCUGAACAUGUUUCUCAACCCUCCCAGUUACUACGCUUGGAACAAAGACACCGCCUCGAAAGACGAGUUAACCUAUAUGCCAUGGGCCGCGUUUAUUAUCGUAUUAUUGAUACUAAGCUUGAUGUUCUGUAUUCGGAGUUACGGAAUCUGCGACUCUGUUGAAUUUAAAUUCUGGCAUUGACUUUCGGGACACGUAACAUAUUUUCGAAUGUAGAUGACAGUUCACAAGAAUACGCCACCUAGUGGAUAUUAAAUGUCGAAAAUCUAACUUUGUUCUUAGAAUUAAUUUUAAUUUCAUCAUUAUAAUUCUGUUCAGCUCUUUCAUUUCUCCCGUGGGAAUUUGCACUGAUCCAUUUCGGGUCGAAAAUCCCGAUUCGAAUAUUCUAAAAUACCCAAAACAUUGACAAAACCUCGUCUAAUUGGCGGCGUAUUCUGGUAUUCAAGCACAGAUUUUUUUUGUAUGAGUACCGCCGUAUUUUUUGGUCGACUACUGACUUGUUUAAUAAUCAAAUCGUUUGACUACAGAAGUAUCACUGUACUUGCUUUAAUAUUAUUUACUAUGAAAGCUCUAGUUAUCUGGUAUGAUUGGCAAAUCUGUUAUGAACUUUUAAAAAACAAAAUUUUCCACCAAAUUGAUUUUUAAUUGAGCUGCCUGCAGUUUGUGGGUUCACAAUCUAUGACAAAAUUCUGUCAAAAUCACACCGCUUUGAACAGAUCCACCACCUCUGAUUUAUACACUGUGUUCCGGUACAUUCAAAUUUAUUUUUCUAUCUUUUAUUGUACAAUUUAUUUUGUAUAUACACUCAAUGUUUUGCCCUGUUUGAAUUUGGUAUUUAUUCUUCUGUGUCUGCUUUCUAUCGCUUUUUCUCAUUUCAUAUUGUAAUGUAUUGUUUCUGUCUUGUUUUGGUUGUUUUGAAUGAUUUUUACUUUGAUUGGCACAAGAUAUUCAUGCUAGAUUUUACUGGUACAGAAGUCAAUAAUAUUUGAAUUUGUUCCGAAUCAUCCAACGCUAGAUAAUCUAAAAUUCUUUGCAAUCAGGAUAUCGUACCUUGGCCUCAAGUUGAAGCUUUAGGUUAGCUUAAAAAUGCUAAAUUUAGCUUGAUUACACAAAAUUUUACUCAAUGGUACAAGAUUUUUUAGUUAUUUUUCAAGCGCGACUUCAAGAAUUUCGAUUUUUUUUAAGAAAUGUCAGAUUGCAAAUUUAUGCAAAGCUUAUCUAUAGCUAUCGGAUACUUUUUACUUUGAACUCCCAAGUGAAAGCUUUCGAUUCAAAUUUCAAAUUCACUGUUUUAAUGUAAAUUUUCACCCAAACAAGUAUCAGUAUAAACAAGUUUUUUGUAAAAUUCGUCGAACGGCUUCCUCCAACAUACGCAAUUUCUUAUUCCAGCCAGGGUUAUUUGUUUUAUUGUUGUUUUCUAUUGAAGCUGUCUUUUCUGUCUCACAUUGAAGUGUAGUGCGUGUUACUUUUAUAUAUUUGUCGUCGAAAUCAUUUUUUUCUCAAUCCCCAAACUUCAAUCUAAAUCAGUGGUUCUACAAAUUUUCAAGCCACGUUUUUAGAAUUUGUCAAGUCUCUUGCCCUACCUCAAAAAUAAGUAGCUAACAAUAAGCUACAUAUAACAGUUUGUAAGGCGAAAGUUUUAUUUAAAAAAGGCGUAAAAAUACAAGAAUGGAAUGUAAAUAUCAAAAAAGGCAGGCAAGAUCAAAUCUAGCAUAUAUUUCCAUUAUUAAUUAGCUUCAAGCCCCCUUCAAAAAAUUGUGGGACACGCGCCGUUUGGGAACCACCGAUCUGAAGUCAAUCUAAAUUGCCGGUGGAAAAGCAUAUAAUGGAACCGAUUAGCGUCUAAUUCUAAUACACAGUACCCUAUAUUUGAAUUAAAACCAUCGUUUCUUUGAAUAUCUUGGUUUUUGAGUAAAUAUUUACGUCUUGCUUGCCCUAUAAAAAGCUAUGCUGCAUUCAAUUGCUUCUAUUGUUAAGUUCCGCCCAAAGAAAUCGCCCAUAUACACAAUUUUAUUUAUAUUCAUAUUCUAUAUAUGCUCAUAUAUUGAAUUUACCUUUUUGUGUCACAAUUUUACUAAAUAUUACUAUUACUAUCUGCACAUCUGCUAAUACGGACCGUCACCUCCCCCUGGAAGGUAGCAAAAUCUCAUAUGUGCUCCUUUUGAUAAGCUCUAUGCUGGAGUAACAACUUUCCCAGUGUCUUCUUCAGAUCAUAGGUUAGACCUGUCAGGUCUGCUUGUUUGGAGACUUCUUCGGGGCCUAGUUCAAACAAAGCUAGGAAAUCAAUGCCCAAAUUUGGGGUUUAUUUUGCUUAUGUAUCUACUUGUCCAAAGCAUUACUCAGAAAACCUGUUUAGAAAUAAGAUGAAUGGCUUUAUUUGGAGCAAAAGCUUAGCUCAACCAAAAACUUUAUUACCUCCAAAUUCUGUAUUUUAUUCAUCCAUAUUGACUUUUUCACAGCCUUGGUUCGAGUCUAACAAGAGACCCAUGCCCAAACCUGUGUUAUUUUAUGCUGUUCUAUCUGCUUUUCGCCCCCUCCCCCUUAUUUUGAAAUGUAAAAAUGAAAGCAUCCAACUUUUGAACCCUCAGAACUCGUGAAGACCCAUAUUCUCCGUUCUUCGGUCGAAACCGCUCCCUGUUUUGGUCUAACUUGGCAAAAAGAAAUUUUAGAGCCCUCAUUUGGAAAAAUCUUGGCCCCUGAUUCUAUACGCCCAGUAUCUGCUUCCCCCCUGUUUAGAAAGCGAGUACGAAAUAAGUUCCCGUCCAAUUAUGACUCAUCAAUUGAAGCCAUUUUAAAUUGAAGCAAUGUUACUCAGUUUUUAAUGUUAAAACUUAAAAAUACACAAUACCUCGUCCCAAACUUCCCAAGUUUCCUAAAGUGCAAAAGUAUUCAUUUAUAGAGAAAAUUUGGCGAAAUAUUAGAACUUUAGCUAUUUUGUGUGCCUUGUGUGUUUUUAGAUUUGAAAAAUGUACUUAGAAAUGCUUGUUUUAUUAAGGAAUCUGUAAAUAAAUUGAAAAAAAAAGCGA